rnacentral:rRNA from 1 species
GUGAACCUGCGGAAGGAUCAUUACACAACAAAAUAUGAAGGCCUGGUGUGCUCUCGGGCCAGUUUUGCGGAGGCUGAAUUAUUUAUUACCCUUGUCUUUUGCGCACUUGUUGUUUCCUGGGCGGGUUCGCCCGCCACCAGGACCACAUGAUAAACCUUUUUUAUGCAGUUGCAAUCAGCGUCAGUAUAACAAAUGUAAAUCAUUUACAACUUUCAACAACGGAUCUCUUGGUUCUGGCAUCGAUGAAGAACGCAGCGAAAUGCGAUACGUAGUGUGAAUUGCAGAAUUCAGUGAAUCAUCGAAUCUUUGAACGCACAUUGCGCCCUUUGGUAUUCCAAAGGGCAUGCCUGUUCGAGCGUCAUUUGUACCCUCAAGCUUUGCUUGGUGUUGGGCGUUUUUUGUCUUUGGUUGCCAAAGACUCGCCUUAAAAGGAUUGGCAGCCGGCCUACUGGUUUCGCAGCGCAGCACAUUUUUGCGCUUGCAAUCAGCAAAAGAGGACGGCAAUCCAUCAAGACUCCUUCUCACGUUUGACCUCGGAUCAGGUAGGGAUACCCGCUGAACUUAA